rnacentral:lncRNA from 1 species
GAGCCAUGUUUCAGCUCUAGAUCUGACACCUUUCCGCUGGGUGACCUUGGGCGAGGCACUUAACUUCCUUGGACAUCUUUUUUUUUUCACUCAGAAAACAAGGAAUGAAAAUUCUCAUUCGUAGAUUUGAUGGGAAAGCUAAAUAAGAUAUUGUUUAAAAGGUCUUUAUACAGUUUGCUGCACAGAGAAGUUGGUAGCAGUAUGAUGGUGAUGGUGCCAUGUCACUAAGGAGAGUCUUUAAAGUGACUGCUGGCAGGAUAACUUCUUGUUUCCAUUGCUAUUUCUUUUUAUUUAAAGUGCAAAAUGGCCCUUUGGCGUUGUUCAUAAGAUACCCAUUGUUCAAGCCAAAUUAAAGGAAGAAUCAGAACAAAUUUCUUGGGCAAAACUUCCGUGAAAAUUAAGUUGGAAACUAUCUCAAAAAUUUCAGUUCUGGUGCCUUUCCCUCUUUUUCUCUCUCCCUGCCUCCCUCUCCCCCCCCCUUUCUUUUUUAAAGUUUUAUUGAAGUGUAGUUAAUUUUAAGGUUGUGAUAAUUUCUGCUGUACAAUAGAGUGACCCAGUCAUGCCCAUACACAUCCCCGUUCUCUUUCUGAUUCUUUUCCCACAUAGAUUAUCAUAGAAUAUUGGGUAGAGUUCUCUGUGCUAUACAGCAUGUCCCCAUUGGCCAAUCAUUCCAUAUAGCUCAGUGUGCAUAUGCCAAUCCCAAACCCCUAGGCCAUCCCUCUCUACCCCACCUGUUCCCUUUGGUAACUGUAAGUGUUUCAAAGUCUGUGACUCUGUUUCUGUUCUGCAAAUAAGUUCAUUUGUAUCCUCUUUUUGUUUGUUUGUUUGUUUGUUUUUGGAGUCCGCAUAUAAGUGAUAUCAUAUGGUAUUUGUCUUUCACUGUCUGACUAACUUAGUAUGAUAGUUUCUAGGUUCAUCCAUGUUGCUACAAAUGGCAUUGUUUCAUUCUUUUUAUGGCCGAGUAACAUUCCCUUGUAUAUAUGUACCACAUCUUCUUUACCCAUUCCUCUGUAGAUGGACAUGUAGAUUGCCUCCAUGUCUUGGCUAUUGUGAAUAAUGCUGCAGUGAACAUUGAGGUGAAUGUAUCUUUUCAAAUUAUGGUUUUCUUUGGAUAGAUGCCCAGGGAGUGGGGUAACUGAAUCAUAUGGUAAUUCUAUUUUUAGUUUUUCGAGGAACCUCCAUACCGUUUUCCAUAUUGGUUGCACCAAUGUACAUUCCCACCAACACUGUAGAGGGUUCCCUUUUCUCCAUACCCUUUCCAGCAUUCAUUAUUAGUAGACUUUUUGAUGAUGGACAUUCUGGCUGGUGUAAGGUGAUAUUUCAUAGUAGUGUUGAUUUGCAUUUAUCUAAUAAUUAGUUAUGUUGAGCAUCUUUUCAUAUGUUUUUGGUCAUCUGUAUGUCUUCUUUGGAGAAAUGUCUAUUUAGAUCUCAUGCCCAUUUUUUAUUUUUUAUUUUUUUUAAUAUUGAGCUGUAGGAGGUGUUUGUAUAUUUUGGAGAUUAACCCCUUGACAGUUGCUUCAUUUGCAAAUAUUUUCUCCCAUUUUGUGGGUUGUUUUUCAUUAUGUUUGUACUUUGUUAUGUUUAUGUUGGUUUUGUUUUGUUUGCUGUGAAAAAAACUUUUAAAUUUAAUUAGGUUCCAUUUGUUUAUUUUUGUUUUUAUUGACAUUACUCUAGGAGGUGGAUCUGAGAAGAUAAUGUCAGAGAGUGUUCAGCCUAUGUUUUCCCCUAAGAGUCUUAUAUUAUCCAGUCUUAGAUGUAGGUCUUUAAUCCAUUUUGGGUUUGUUUUUGUUUGUGGUGUUAGAGAAUGUUCCAAUUUCAUUCUUUUGCAUGUAGCUGUUCAGUUUACCCACUACCACUUACUGAAGAGACUUUCUUUUCUCCACUGUAUAUUCUUGCCUCCUUUGUCAUAGAUUAAUUGACCAUAAGUUCUUGGGUUUAUUUCUGGGCUUUCUAUCCUUUUCCAUUCUGGGACAACCUUAAAUGCACCAACAUUCACAUUAUAGGGGUUCCAGAAGGAGAAGAUAGAGAAAAAGGUCCAGAGGAAAAUAUUCUCUCUCUCUUUCUCUCCCCUUAUAUAUUGAGUUAAGAAUACAUGAGAUCUACCCUCAUAACAAAUGUUUAAGGGUGCAAUACCAUUAUUAACUACAAGCACAGUAUUAGAGUAUUACACAAUAUUACACAGAGGAUCUCUACAACCUGACCAUCUUGCAUAACUAAAACUUUAUACCAAUAAUUGGCAAUUACGUAUUUCCCCUCAUCCCAACCCCUGCAAACCACCACUCUGCUCUCUUCUAAGCUUGACCAUGUUAGCUACAUCACAGCUGCAGUAUCCUGCAGCAUUUGACCUUUUCUCCCAGACUUAUUUCAGGUAGUGUUAUAUCCCCCAGUACAUCUCCGUUGUCUCAGAUGGCAAGGAUUUCCUUCUUUUUCAAGGCUGAAUAAUAUUGCACUGUAAAUAUAGUGUCUCUUUUUGAUACUUUGUGGUGAAAACACAAGAAUGGAUAACUUCAAUAUAAAAAUGAAUGGAUUUAGCCAUUCAGCAAGUAUUUAUUGUAUUUAUUGAAUAUCUGAAAUGUUCCAAAAUCUUUGUGCCAGAAGCAGGAGGCAUACAGUGGUCAACAGAGGGAAAGUAACCCCUGCACACAGCUCACUCUUUGGUAGUGGUGAUGGGUGGGUUAACAACACAAUAAAUGUUGUAAAGGGGGCAACACCGAGCCAUAGGUACCCACAGAUCGAUGUUAUCAUGACUACUGGUUACUGAUCACUAUCUUUCAAGUACUGAGCCCUGUGCUAAACAUUCAUACCUAUUAACACUAUCAUUUAAUGUUUCUACUGCACCUGUGAGAUAACUGUCCUAAACAUUCUUAGGUUUAAUAAAUCAUUUAAUGUUUCCACCAUACCUGUGAGAUAGUUUCUAUUAUUUUGUACUUUUUGCAGGGAGAAAAAUGAAAUUUGAAGAGAUUACAUCACCCAGGAUCACACUUGGUAAGAGAUAGAGGCAGGAAUUAAUCCCAAAGCACCAGCUCUUUAACCAGGCAUAGAUUUCUAAGGAAGUUGCUGACUCUAGCUCUACCCUACAUGAUGGGCACUUUCUGAUGUGUUUGCCUUUUUAGAACUUGUUUUAACAUUUGUGGAGAUAAUAUAUGCCACUCUAAGAUUAUUAGAAGUAUUAUCUAAGAUAAUAAAUAGAGAUCAGUCAGCUGAGACCUAACCCAUAUGCAUAAAUGUUACUUCUCAUGCCCCCUUCUUCUUAAAUACUUUUGUUUAUAGAGUCCUAGGUGGAUGUAUGAACAUAUAUACCAAAUAAUUACAGUGAUAAUAACUGAUUUAAUGAAGCAUGGUGUGCCAGGAACUGUGCUCUUUGCAUGGAUGAACUCAUAGCAUCAGCAAAAUGACCUUCUUGUUAGGUCCUGUUAUUAUCUUGGUCUUUCUACAAUGGAAACAGAGGCACAGAGAUAUUGGAUAAGUUGCUGAAGGUCACAGAACUUUUACAUGGUAGACCAGGAUUCGAUUCCUGGUGGUCUGGUUCUAGAGCCUACUCCUGACCACUGUGCUAUCUAAAUGCCAUAAAAAAGGGCUGCAGAUACCCUUGGAAGUAGUUACUGGGGGUGGUGCCAUGGUUGAUGUGAGCCCCAAAAGUGAGAUGCUUGCUUUGUUCUCAAAAUAAUGAAAUAAUACUUACUCAUUUAUUUUCAAAUAAGAUAGUUUUUUCUUAAGUCACAGUAGCCUCAUGUGGUCAGAUGAUCCCAUACAUUUUCCUUUGUUAACAUCAGCCAACACCAUGGCAAGGCCUGGAUUAUCUUUCUUAGAAAGUACUUGUGCUACCCACCUGUCUUGUUCAGCCUUGGUACGCAACCAAGUGCAGCAAAUGGCUCCCUGGAUAAUUUCAAUGACCUUGCAAUACCUCCCAAGAUUCCAUGAGAGAGCUCACAAUUUAAUUUUGGAAUGAAAGCCUGGAAAGCUCUCCUCACACUGCUGCUUCUCAGAGCUGCUCAGAUGUUUACAUUGCAUUAACCAAAAUUCAUGUCAACUUACUCAGUGAUUCUGUUCAACUCAGUAAAGCAUGUAGUCCAAAUUGUAGAACAUCUUUUCUCUUCCCCCACAGAAUUCCCAAAAGAAGAUUCCAAAGCAAGUAAGGCAGAAGGGGAAGUUAGGCAUUUGUGCUUCUUUUUCAAAGUUGCACACCUCAGCUCGGGCCCCCACAGCUUGAGUGACCUUCAUCUGUACACUUCUCUGAAAGGAAUUGGUCCUUUCUCGGGCAGGGAAAUAUUGGCUAAUGUCUCCUAAUGAGGGUGGUGUGCAGACCAUAAUGUCUAGGCAGCUACAUUGCCAGGGCAGGUUUGGACAGAAAUAUGCAAACAAUAAAGCACCACAGGGCACGCAGAGUUGGGUCAUAAAACGCAUGUCCCCUGUGUGUUGUGUGGCAAGACGCCAACGGCCUUGUGCCCUCAGCCACCUGUGUACAAUUCCAGCCGAUCAUCUGUGACUCACGGGAGGCUGAUUAGAUUGUUUCUGUCCCGAGGCCAUUUUAUUAUAACGUUUGGUUGUGAAUUUCAUUAAGUUUUACAGUCCUCCGCACGUGUGUUUAUAACAAGAGCUGUCUCCCCUUGCGGGAUGACAUUUGUUUUUAUAAAACAAAAAUUAAAUCAAAAUUGAAGCUUAUGAAAGUUUUUUUUUUAAAGUGUGUGAAAGGCAAUGGGCAAAAAACAAAUUGUCACAUAAACCAACAUGAAAUGUAAAUCAGUUUUAACAAAGGGACUAUUUUUGGCAUUACUCGAAAUGCAAUAGGAAACAUAAAUCAAGAGGAUGUGGAUUCACGCUCCAUAAACCCUUGAAUUGCUGUAUAUUUAACUCUUGCCCAUGUUAAGACACACCUAGGAGAAAGAAAAAUGGAAUUUUAUAAACAGAAGGAUGGUAUUGCUUCUGCCGCUGCAGGAGAUGGUGACUCCAAGUGUCAUCUGUGGAAAGUAUGAGGGAAAAGUCAGGGACCACUAUGGCUGGGUUUCCUGCUUUCUCAGAAUGAUACAGAUUCAAGGGUACAAAUGGACCCAUCACAUAUUGUGCCCACCUUUCAGUCUCAUGGCACAGAUUGGCGAGGCUUCCAACCUAUUUAAAAAUUGUCUUUAGGAGUUCCCUUCAUGGCUCAGAGGUUACCCAACCUGACUAGAAUCUAUGAGAAUGUAGAUUCCAUCCCUGGCCUCACUCAGUGGGUUAAGGAUCUGGUAUUGCUGUGAGCUGUGGUGUAGGUUGCAGAUGCGGCUUGGAUCCCAUGCUGCUGUGGCUGUGGUGUAGGCGAGCACUUGUAGCUUCAAUUCUGCCCCUAGCCUGGGAACUUCCAUUUGUCACAGGUGCAGCCAAAAAAAAAAAAAAAAA